UUCCUGAUUCCACCGCCGCCUCCCUCCAUUUUUCUCUCCCUCACUCUCUCUUUUCGCUCCCUCUCCUUUACCGUCGCACCUCAUCUCCGCCUUCUCCCUCCUCUCUUCAGCCCCAUCGCCACCCCACUGCUUUAUCUCCUCCCCUAUUCCCCCAUAUCUUCUUGUCCCCUCUGUUUCUCCUGUUUCUCUGACACCUCCACUACCUUCACCCAUCCCUCAUCGCUCCCCUCACGUUACUCCGUCUGACACCCUCCACGCCACUGCCACCCAUUUCGUCCUGUCCCCCACUCGUCUAUUCCCCCCCCCACGCUCGUCUGUCCCCGCUGCUCUCUCUCUUUUCACAAAGAAAAGCUAGAUCUCCCCUAUAAAUGUAGAUUUCUAUGACCCUUAAAAGGGGAUGGUGGGUACAGGAAAAAUGGGGGAGAAUCUGAUUUUUUUCUGAUUGAUGAAACCCCCCACGAAUUGAAACUAUAAAAUCGAGAAAAUCCCUUGGAAAGAAAAGGAGAUCUUGCCAGAUCGAAAAGAAAAUCUCAAAGGAACGAAAUUUUUUUUGGAUUCGAAAAUCCCCUGAAAAUUAUAAGUUCUUCAGUGGCUAAAACCCCCCCUUAAAAGAAAAAGGGUAUUUUCCUAGCCGUCUCAAUUUUUCCCAAAAAAAUAUCAAUUCGCAGUCCAUCGUGAUAGUUCAAAGUAUCGAGUCAAAAGACACGCUAAAACAUGUUUUUUUUAUCUGCUCUGUUGUUGUUGUCGUGAAUCCUGGCUUUGGAAGCUCGGACUUGAUAGUCGAGGGUAGAUAUGAAGCCCCGCACUCCACUUCGCUGCAUCCGAACAAGCCCAACAUAAUACUCUCGAGUCAUCCCCAAAUCAGCAGCCAGCCCGCAGGCAUACAAAAAAAAAAAGAAUUCUGGGCCAAGCCCAAUGGCGAACGGAUUGCAGUUGUUUGUAAAAAAUGGGUUGAGCCCAUUUAACUCUCUCCCCUAUUCUAUUCUCUUACAUUUAACUUGUAUGUCUAAUGUUUUAUCUUGCUAAUUUAGAUGAAUCUUAGGAGACAUUAGUGGGUUUAGUAAUGGUUAAAUGAUCUAAGAUAAUUAGCGAUCAACUCACUUUCCGAAUAAUUGAUUCUCAAAAAUAAAAUAGCAUGAUUGCGCAUUUUGAAUUAAAAGAA